rnacentral:lncRNA from 7 species
GUUUGGAUUAAGGAGAAUAGUUCGACCAAAAAUCUGUCUGAUAGGUAUCAAUCUGAAUAGUCUGGUAUUAUUUGAAUAGUGACGUCAUGUUAAUUUUCUUGUUUUUACAAAGUUGUCUUCUAGGAGAUGCGUAAAUGUUUCUCUCUACUUAUGUGCAGAGAUAUGUCGUUGCUGGUUCGCUAAUUCUUAUGGUUUUUUUCCCAGUGAUUUGGGUGCUUGCGUGCUUGCUGCUUGGGGGAAUUUUAUCACAACUUGGAGAAGACCCCUCGCCAUUUUGCAUUUCCAAUCGUCGGUUAGUUUGUGUGCCUAAGCGCCUGCCCUGUUUUUUAUGUGUUGUUUGUUACAA